UUUGGAAGGGCUCUCAGUUUUUAAAGGAGGGGGACGAUUCGAACAAGGGGGGUUCUCAACGGCAAAAAAAAAAAAAGAAAAAGAAAAAGAAAAGGGAACCAUUCGAGCAAGACAGAGGAGGGAAAUACCAAACAAGAAACAAGCUGUGUAUACUUGUAAAAGUAGUGUAUCCUCUGUUAUUCAAAGAAUAAUAUAAACACAAGGCUCUCUUUCUUUGUCAAGGAAUCAAAGCAAUAUAAAGCAAAUCCAAAAUUAAAUUCCAGAAAUAGAGUGAAUCGUGUUUACUGUCGAAGUAGAGAAAUCGACAAUCGUUGGGGUUCCUUCGUCGGAGUUGUAACUUUUCCGGAGUCGAGUAAAAUUGUCCUGAGUCGUUUGCAUCCUUGUAUAUUUUUUCUUCGGAUUAGUUAUCAUAUUAUGAGAUUUCGAAAAUAAAAAAAGAAAUAGACAAGGUUUAAGUUCUUACCUUAUUGUGGCGAACUCUGAUUGCCAGAUUGAUUGUCCUCAUAGUUGAGAGGCUAGGUGGUCGAGGCGUCGCCGUUUUGGUUGCAAUCGGGGAAGAAGGAGAGAUUGCAGCACUGUUGGAGAAGGAAAGGAGAAGAAAAUGAAGUUAGGGAUUAUUUUUAGCUUAAAAAAUUACAUAUAUCAAAUUAUCAAAACGACUGUGUUUCAAAGGGGUUAUGGUAAUCCGAUUUAGCGCCUGAGGGGGUUAUUCUCUGUAAAUCACGUUAGUUUCUGCCCUAUUCCAUUUUGGUCCUCUUCUAGGAUGUUUGAACUCGUGUUUUUGGCUCCCUGUUUCCGCAUUUUAAGUUUCUGUCCUUAGGUGAUGUUAUUUCAAAUUUUCAUUUAUUUUUGCAUCUGAUGUGAAAUUUUGUUAAGUUGUAAUUUACUCCUAUAUGUAAUUGUGGGUUUAUUUCUUUGGUAGUCACGCAUUUAUUUGUCUUAGCUCAUUUUAGUCCACAAAUAGAGUAUUUCAUGCUUUUUAA